rfam:Dipodomys ordii contig_55436, whole genome shotgun sequence.
GGUAGGUAGCUCAGUGGUAGAGUGCUUGCCUUGCAUGCAUGAGGCCCUGGGUUCAAUUCCUCAGCACCA